UGGACUUGACAUCCUUCGGACGGCCGUUAGAGAUAGUGGCUUCCCUUCGGGGCCGGAGUGAC
rnacentral:rRNA from 1 species